rnacentral:rRNA from 1 species
AACUGGGCGUUAAGUUGCAGGGUAUAGACCCGAAACCCGGUGAUCUAGCCAUGGGCAGGUUGAAGGUUGGGUAACACUAACUGGAGGACCGAACCGACUAAUGUUGAAAAAUUAGCGGAUGACUUGUGGCUGGGGGUGAAAGGCCAAUCAAACCGGGAGAUAGCUGGUUCUCCCCGAAAGCUAUUUAGGUAGCGCCUCGUGAAUUCAUCUCCGGGGGUAGAGCACUGUUUCGGCAAGGGGGUCAUCCCGACUUACCAACCCGAUGCAAACUGCGAAUACCGGAGAAUGUUAUCACGGGAGACACACGGCGGGUGCUAACGUCCGUCGUGAAGAGGGAAACAACCCAGACCGCCAGCUAAGGUCCCAAAGUCAUGGUUAAGUGGGAAACGAUGUGGGAAGGCCCAGACAGCCAGGAUGUUGGCUUAGAAGCAGCCAUCAUUUAAAGAAAGCGUAAUAGCUCACUGGUCGAGUCGGCCUGCGCGGAAGAUGUAACGGGGCUAAACCAUGCACCGAAGCUGCGGCAGCGACGCUGAUGCGUUGUUGGGUAGGGGAGCGUUCUGUAAGCCUG